GAGCGAACAGGAUUAGAUACCCUGGUAGUCCACGCCGUAAACGAUGAUUACUCGGUAUUGGCUCCGGUCAGUGCCCAAGCGAAAGUGAUAAGUAAUCCACCUGGGGAGUACGCCCGCAAGGGUGAAACUCAAAGGAAUUGACGGGGGCCCGCACAAGCGGUGGAGCAUGUGGUUUAAUUCGAUGAUACGCGAGGAACCUUACCAGGGUUUAGAUGCAGAACGACAGGGGUGGAAACACCCCCUUCUUCGGACGGACUGCAAGGUGCUGCAUGGUUGUCGUCAGCUCGUGCUGUGAAGUGUCGGGUUAAGUCCCAUAACGAGCGCAACCCCCAUUUCUAGUUGCCAGCGGUUCGGCCGGGGACUCUAGAGAAACUGCCAGCGUAAGCUGUGAGGAAGGUGGGGAUGACGUCAAAUCAUCACGGCCCUUACAUCCUGGGCCACACACGUGCUACAAUGGUGGGGACAACAGGUUGCCAACCCGCGAGGGUGAGCCAAUCCCAAAACCCCAUCUCAGUUCGGAUCGGAGUCUGCAACUCGACUCCGUGAAGUUGGAAUCGCUAGUAAUCGCGGAUCAGCCAUGCCGCGGUGAAUACGUUCCCGGGCCUUGUACACAC
rnacentral:rRNA from 1 species